AUAAUUAGGAGUCAUAGGACAAGAAUUGCUCUUAAGGCAGCACCCAAAAGAGUACGUUCAAAGACAAAUUACUCACCAAUUAUAUCAGAUUUUAUAAAUUAAUGUAUUUUGAAUAUUGCUUAAUACAAUUCAUAUAGUUUAUUAUAUGUUGUUUAUAUAGUUUAUUAUUUUAUUUUAGAUUGAGUGAGUUGUAUUAAAUUUUUUAGUUAACCUAAUUCAUAACAUCUAAUACUUUUACAAUUAUUUUUAUGUUUUAUCAUAUUAAUAUUAAUUAUUUGUAUAUCAUAUUCUUAACAUGUUGCCAAUACUAAAGAACGUUAAAUUUUAUUUUGAAUGGAUAAAUUUUUUAUAAUUAAAAUUAAUGAAUUUGAUAACUUGACCUAACUUAAUUGAAUUAUAAUCAUUAGGUAUUUUGUGUUGUAAAAUGUAUAAAUCUUUGAAAUAAAACAAAUCUGUGACGGUUUUUUUAAAAAUCAUAAAAAUUCAAUUAAAAAUAAUAAAAUCAAUAUAAAGUAUAUAUGAUAUUCGUUUGAGAACCCAGUUAUUUUUUAAAACAGUGUAUAGAUCUAGUAAUUAAUCUAAUUAAUAAAAUUAUAUAAUAUUAUUUUCAUCCAUUUUAAAUUAUGGAUUUGCCAGAAUAAAAUGUAGGUUAGAUUGUGAAGAUUGAUUAUAUUAUGACUCAAUUAAUGGAUAAAACCUACUAUAUUACAAUUUCCAGCUUCAUAAUCAUCUAGCAGCUUCACAGCUUCACAACCAUCACUCCAAGUAAGUUUGUUUUAGUUAACUUUUUUCACUUCAGUUUAAUAUAUAAUAUAUGUACACAUUACUAGAUAAGUAAUGUUCUAUUUUGCUGUUUUGGUGUAGUCAUGCCAAUUGAUA
rnacentral:lncRNA from 1 species